GCUAGCAGCCAUAUCACCCUGAAGCUCACAAUAAGCACCCCAUUGCAGCUAAGCAGGUGUGAGCCUGGUCAGUACCUGGAUGGGAGACCCCCUGGGAACACUAAGGUUGCUGCUGGAA
rnacentral:rRNA from 1 species